ACUCAAUAGAUACCCGGGUAGUCCACGCCGUAAACAAUGGAUGCUAGCUGUAUUCGGUAUCGACCCCGGAUGUAGCGAAAGCUAACGCGUUAAGCAUCCCGCCUGUGGAGUACGAGCGCAAGCUUAAAACAUAAAGGAAUUGACGGGGACCCGCACAAGCGGUGGAGCGUGUUGUUUAAUUCGAUGGUAAACGAAGAACCUUACCCAGGCUUGACAUCCUAGGAAGGUCUACGAAAGUAGACUGUGCCUUGUGAGCCUAGUGACAGGUGAUGCAUGGCCGUCGUCAGCUCGUGUCGUGAGAUGUUUGGUUAAGUCCAUCAACGAGCGCAACCCUUAUGUUUAGUUGAAUUUCUCUAAACAGACUGCCCUGGUAACAGGGAGGAAGGGGGGGAUGAUGUCAGGUCAGUAUUUCCCUUACGUCUGGGGCUACAAACACGCUACAAUGGCCGGUACAAAGGGCAGCCAAGUCGCGAGACGGAGCAAAUCCCAUCAAAGCCGGUCUCAGUUCGGAUAGCAGGCUGAAACUCGCCUGCUUGAAGCC
rnacentral:rRNA from 1 species